rnacentral:rRNA from 1 species
UAGUCCACGCUGUAAACGAUGAUUACUAGGUGCUCGAAGUGUUAACCCUUUGAGUACCGCCGCCAACGCAUUAAGUAAUCCGCCUGGGGAGUACGGUCGCAAGGCUAAAACUCAAAGGAAUUGACGGGGGCCCGCACAAGCGGUGGAGUAUGUGGUUUAAUUCGAAGCAACGCGAAGAACCUUACCUGGGUUUAACAUCCCGUGACAACUCCAGAGAUGGAGCCUCCCCUUCGGGGGCACGGUGAUAGGUGCUGCAUGGCUGUCGUCAGCUCGUGUCGUAAGAUGUUGGGUUAAGUCCCGCAACGAGCGCAACCCUUAUCCUUAGUUGCUACCAUUAAGUUGGGCACUCUGAGGAGACUGUCGGUGUUAAACCGGNGGAAGGCGGGGAUGACGUCAAGUCCUCAUGGCCCUUACGUCCAGGGCUACACACGUACUACAAUGGCAAAGACAAACCGUUGCGAAACCGUGAGGUGGAGCUAAUCGGUAAAACAUUGUCGCAGUCCGGAUUGAAGUCUGCAACUCGACUUCA